AAAGGGCGUUUUUUACAGUGCUCUUUUAGCUCUGCUGACCGCGGAUGGCUUAAGUGUUAACAGCUCAGUGGGCCCUUUGCCUUUUCUCAUGAGUCGGCUGCCCUGUGCCAGCAAGGGCAAAGGGCCAGUGUAACAGCCUUUUGUAUCUGCACUCGUGGCUCCUGAGCUCCUGUUCGGCACACAGGAAAAAUGAGGUCGCACCAACAAACUGAAGGAUGGUAAAUGUUGAGGAUUUUAUUGCCAAUGAAAGCGGCUGUCACUGGGAGCUGAAAAGGUAAUGGAAAGCUGAAAAGCGGAUAAGGUGGGUAGGUACCUGAAGUCUGGCCAUCUACGGCAGCUGGAUUCUUCUCCAAAGUUAUACUGUCAAGCUGUCCCUCUGAAGCCAAGCCACUUCUCUUUGACAUCCAGCCGUAGUCUCUGCUCCUCUCCAACUGAGUAUGAGGGAGAUGUUUCCUAUUAUCCUUGAUAAUGUGCCAUGAACAUAUGAAAAAACAUAGAAACAUGAAGAAAACAAGAAGACAAAAAUCACUAACAUCUGGUUGGCUGUAUAGAAACAAAGCUGAUUCUGGUUGGAGUGCAGUGGUAAGAUCACAGCUCACUGCUGCCUUGACUUCCUGGGCUCAAGUGAUUCUCCUGCCUCAGUCUCCUCAGUAGCUCGGACUACAGCUUGCAAAUGGAUCUUACAGACGUUGUCACAGAGACAAGAAAAGGAGAGGAGCCAAGAUGGCUGAAUAGGAACAGCUCCGGUCUACAGCUCCCAGAGUGAGCGACGCAGAAGACGGGUGAUUUCUGCAUUUCCAUCUGUGGUACCAGGUUCAUCUUACUAGGAACUGCCAGACAGUGGGCGCAGGACAGUGGGUGCAGCGCACUGUGCAUGAGCUGAAGCAGGGUGAGGCAUUGCCUCACUCAGGAAGCGCAAGGGGUCAGGGAGUUCCCUUUCCUAGUCAAAGAAAGGGGUGACAGAUGGCACUUGGAAAAUCGGGUCACUCCCACCCGAAUACAGCGCUUUGCCAACGGGCUUAAAAAACGGUGCACCAGGAGAUUAUAUCCCGCACCUGGCUCGGAGGGUCCUACACCCACGUAGUCUCACUGAUUGCUAGCACAGCAGUCUGAGAUCAAACUGCAAGGCGGCAGCGAGGCUGGGGGAGGGGUGCCUGCCAUUGCCCAGGCUUGCUUAGGUAAACAAAGCAGCCGGGAAGCUCAAGCUGGGUGGAGCCCACCACAGCUCAAGGAGGCCUGCCUGCCUCUGUAGGCUCCACCACUGGGCGGCAGGGCACAGACAAACAAAAAGACAGCAGUAACCUCUGCAGACUUAAAUGUCCCUGUCUGACAGCUUUGAAGAGAGCAGUGGUUCUCCCAGCACGCAGCUGGAGAUCUGAGAACAGGCAGACUGCCUCCUCAAGUGGGUCCCUGACCCCUGACCCCUGAGCAGCCUAACUGGGAGGCACACCCCAGUAGGGGCAGACUGACACCUCACAGGGCCGGGUACUCCUCUGAGACAACACUUCCAGAGUAACGAUCAGACAGCAGCAUUCGCAGUUCACGAAAAUCUGCUGUUCUGCAGACACUGCUGCUGAUACCCAGGCAAACAGGGUCUGGAGUGGACCUCUAGCAAACUCCAACAGACCUGCAGCUGAGGGUCCUUUCUGUUAGAAGGAAAACUAACAAACAGAAAGGACAUCCACACCAAAAACCCAUCUGUACAUCACCAUCAUCAAAGUAGAUAAAACCACAAAAGUAGAUAAAACCACAAAGAUGGGGAAAAAACAGAGCAGAAAAA
ensembl:lncRNA LINC02334 long intergenic non-protein coding RNA 2334